rnacentral:rRNA from 1 species
UGGGGAAUUUUGGGCAAUGGGCGAAAGCCCGAUCCAGCAAUGCCGCGUGUGUGAAGAAGGCCUUCGGGUUGUAAAGCACUUUUGUCCGGAAAGAAAUCCUUGGCUCUAAUACAGUCGGGGGGAUGACGGUACCGGAAGAAUAAGCACCGGCUAACUACGUGCCAGCAGCCGCGGUAAUACGUAGGGUGCAAGCGUUAAUCGGAAUUACUGGGCGUAAAGCGUGCGCAGGCGGUUUGCUAAGACCGAUGUGAAAUCCCCGGGCUCAACCUGGGAACUGCAUUGGUGACUGGGCAGGCUAGAGUAUGGCAGAGGGGGGUAGAAUUCCACGUGUAGCAGUGAAAUGCGUAGAGAUGUGGAGGAAUACCGAUGGCGAAGGCAACCCCCUGGGCCAAUACUGACGCUCAUGCACGAAAGCGUGGGGAGCAAACAGGAUUAGAUACCCUGGUAGUCCACGCCCUAAACGAUGUCAACUAGUUGUUGGGGAUUCAUUUCCUUAGUAACGUAGCUAACGUGUGAAGUUGACCGCCUGGGGAGUACGGUCGCAAGAUUAAAACUUAAAUGAAUUGACGGGGUCAUAGCUGUUUCCU